rnacentral:hammerhead_ribozyme from 1 species
AUCUAGUUGACGAGUCCCAAAUAGGAUGAAACGCAAGUCCUGGAU